GAUAAUGGCAUUAAGACUUCGAAGGAAAAGAAAUGAAGCCAUUUUUCCUUAAGGGGGAGGUGUUGUGAAGUUGCAAAGUAUUUGUGAAUUGAAAGACAGGAAGCUAGAACGUGUUUGCAAAACUAAUAGGGGGAAAGAGUGCGUAGUCCCUUUAAGUGGUGAGGUGUUUUUGUGCUUGGAGAUUUUUACUAUGUAUGUCUGUGAGCAGCAGCCGGAGGUUGUACAGAUAGGCCCAAAAUUGAAACAAGUCUAUCAAAAGGCCUUGCAGUUGGCAGGCAAAACAGCAGUUUUGUUUUGGUAUCUGGACACCAAGUUUGAAUUCAGUCAAUCAUUUUGAACCAGGGCCUGAGCUACCAAAAACCAAUUGAAUUUAAAUCUGAUGGUGUUGACAACAUUGAACCUCAGUAAGAAUUGCUAUUAUAUCAUUACGGUAUAAAGAUGAGGGCAUUUGGAAAUUUGGAAGAGAGCCAACUGCCAUCUGAGGGGAGAGCCAAACUUCAGCUGCAGCGAAAGCAAGACCACCAUCUGAAAUACAAACCUGGCUUUCACUAAAAAGUUGUUGAGCUCUCUGAGAAGACCCAUCAAAGAUAACACAGCUGGAGGAACACAGCAGGCCAGGCAGCAUCAGAGGAGCAGAAAAGCUGACGUUUCAGGUCGUGACCCUUCUUCAGAAAUUAUUUCUCAUUAUUUGUAAAGUGGAGAUCAGGGAUUUUCUUUCUUCUAACCACUCUUCUAACAGAUUACAAGGGUAAAGGUGAGCUUCUCUGGGUGUUUCAGGGGUAAUUAUUAAAAGGGAACCUCUAUUCUACAGGUUGCAUUUUGGUUUAACUAUCAGAGACGUUCGGCCAUGCCCCCUCCAUUACACCGUCCACUGUCUCAGAUGUAUCUUCAGUUCCCUUGGCAGAACAAGGUGACCAACUUGGAGGUUCUGCUGUCUGCUCAUUCCAUCAGCAUAUUCUCAUUGCUAAGGUGUCUGCACUGGUUCAUUAUUUGCCCAAAGACUCUGUGCAGUGAACUGCUCAAUGAGUCAAAGACUCCUGGGCAUUCAGAGCCCAGCUAGGAGGACACCCAUGAGCAAGAUAUGUCCUUCGAUCAUUGACACUGAAAACUGGGAGACAGUCGCUGACAGCCAUGAUCUUUGGAUAUUUCCCAAUCAAUCUGUUCAGAGAUGUUAUUAAACACCUCUGGAGCUGGUGGGGCUUGAGAAUUUGGGCCUCCUAUCUCAGAGGAAGGUUCACUACCAUGAUCAUUGGAAGCUGCUGUUUUGGAGGAGCUUGGGAAGAGGCUCACAGAGAGAAGAGGGUCCAGGGAAAUCAAAAUCCAUGGAAUCCUGCACCUUCUCAAACCAUUACCUUCCUCGAGAAUAAAAAAGCCAGAGACUGCAAUGCUCUUGAGCCACCCCAGGAGAUGUUUUACACAUUGUUGUGUUGACCAGCACAGUGCAAUCCAUCGUCUUCCGUGACACAAGACUGCCACUGAGCCCCCUUGUUAUUUGGUCCAGGUAGAAGUUAAGGCUUGAAGUGCGAGUAAGAAAUUCUCUCCCUCUUUCCCUGUCAAUAUUCCUCCCCCAUUCCACUCCUGAUGAAAAGGUGGCCAUUCUGAGAUGUUGCUGUACACAAAAUGAAUGCUCUACUGACCUAUGCAACAGCCAUCAGGGAAGUAAAUUACUCCAUGUAGCA